CACUACGUCAUGUCACACAUAAUUAUGUUGGUUACCAGUUGAGACACCGCAGCUGAGGAGGCUCAUCUUCUCUAGAGGAAACCGAGGGUCCACCUUCACCACACAGGCCGAGUCUAUGACGGUGUACUCGGAGAAGGUGGAUGUGUUAAGAAAAUGGUAGAUGGGCUUGUUGUCUUUGCUGGUGAAGAAUCUGGUCUUCCCAUCACCUACCAUCACUUUCUUCAUUGGAUCCACUCGGAACCUCUCGCAAAGAUUGGCUCCGUCUCGUUUACAGACUCUGCAAUCACCACAUUCUCCGGUGAAAAUAGGGAGCACAUGAUCCCCUGCCUUCAUAUCUUCCACUCCUUCCCCUACGCUCUCCACUAUCCUGUUUCCAUCCAUUGGGAAAACAAAAUAAUAAUAAUGAGACAACAAGAUAUAUUAGUAUUUUAUCCAAAAAAAUGUAUUGGACUAAUUACCCUGCAGCCUCAUGACCAAGGAUUCGAGGGUAUGCUUGCUGAGCCUCGUUCUGACCAACAGACAGAUAUAAGAAAAUUAAAAGGAGACUUCAAGAAGAAGAAGAGAAAAAGAGAGAGUAAGUUACCUCGCCUUUCCAUGCGCUAAGAUCAGUGUGACAGAUGGAAGUGAAGAGGAUUCGUAGUCUAACUUCCAAUCUCUGAGGAGGAUCCACUUUUACAUCCUCCAUCACUAGAGCUUCUCCUGCUCCCCAUGCCACAGCCGCUGUUCAUUCAUUCAUUAACACUCAUCAUAUUAAUUUUAGCUUAGCGUUAGACUUAUACAUACAUAUAAACAUCAUUGUAAAUUACCUCUGCAAGCUAAAUUUUUCUAGUUUUUGCUUAAAACGUGUUUUACAUUAUUCUUAUUACAAAUAAAAAAUAUUUAAUCCAAACAUAACUACUGUAGGUAUUAAAAAAAUAAAUGUACAUAUAAUGCUUACAAUCCAACCCUGAGCAGUGAGCACAUAUAAUUAAGGCAUCUAUGCUACUUUUUUGGAACACACAUCUAACAAUAAACUGAUGUACAAUAAAAAACUAAUUCAGAUAAAAAUUUAAAAUUAUCAAUAAUAUAAUUUUAUUUAUUUGAGGUUACUCAUUACAAUUUUUUAAUAUAUAUAUAUAUAUAUAUAUAUUGUUAAUAAAUUUUAUUCUAUUUAGAGAAAUUAGAGUUUUUCUCUUACAAUUUGAUACCUAUAAAUUAAAUUUUGUAAUCUUUUGGAUUUACUUAAUAUUAACUACAACUAAAACUAUAUUUUUCAUUUACUAUUUCAUACUUAUUAUAUUUCCUAUUUCUUUAAUUUUUACUUAGUAUUGACUGAGAUUAGGAAUAUUUCCCAUUUUAUAAACUUUACUAAGUACAGAUUUUCAAAAUUUUCUAUAUGAGAUUCACGAAAGUUUUAUUUUUUCAUUAGCAAUUUUAAAAAAUAAUUUUAUCAAAUAAUUUUAUGUGUGUUUUGAUAAUAGUUUUUUAUAUUUUUAUUUUUCAGAAUUAAAUAUUUAGUAUUAAUAAUAUUUUCAUUUUAUUAAUUUGAAAAUCAAAAAUUAAAAAUUUAAAUCUAAAAUAACCAUUCAUGUUUUUCAAAAAACUGAAAUGUAUUGCAAAAAAAAACUAAAACUAAAAUCUAAAAGCAAAAAAAAAUCAAAUAACCAGUGCUGAGUGGGUACAUGUGAAAAUGGUUUUUUUGUCUGAAUAUAAUUUAACCAGUGCUGAGUGGGUACAUGUGAAAAACUAGUAUGGAGCCCACAACUUUAUAAAACCAUUUUUUCUGUUUUUAGUUACUUUUUUACAUUUUUAUUUAAAAAUAUUAAUACAUAAGGUUAAAAGUUUUUUAUGUAAGAAAAACAAACAUAUUAAUUAAUGUAACAUAUAGAUGUAUAAUAUAUAUAUAUAUAUAUAUAUUUCAAUUGGUAAUUGUUUUACAAUUAUAAAUAUCGUAUUAAAUAAAACUUUAUAUAAUUAUUUAAAAUAUUAUCAUAUUUUUUUAAAAAAUUGUCUAGUUUUGUAUAGGGUCUCUAAAAUCUCAGGACUGCCAUUGAAUUUGACAUCGUUCAAAUAAAAAAGGGUUGUGUUCAGAAAUAGAACUAAUAGAUAGGUUGUAAAAUUUUGUCUUUGCUCUUUAAAAAAAAAACAAUUGUCUAAUUAUCAAAUGUUAUUUGAGCUAACCAGAAAGAAAUAGGCUGAUUGGCUAAUUUCUUUGGGUAGCAAAACCUUGGCCGAGCUAACCAAGCAUCGGGAUUUCAAAUUUUAAAUUGCAGCUCCUCCUCGUCAGGUUUAUGGGCCAGAUAUGUAUGUUGACUUAUAUAGGCCCUUGUAAAAAUGCAUAACUGCUUCAAGUACUUUAAAUUUUUGUUUGGCAACAUUAAUAGUAGUAAAAAAAUAAAUAUAAUGUUAUUUGAAAACACAGAUAACAAUAAAUUAGGAAAAAAGUAGUGGACUUAUUCUAUUAAAAAAAUUAGAAGUCCAUUACAUUAUAUUAAAAAAUAAUGAACUUAUGUUAUUUGAUAUACAUAUUCAAAUCAAAUAAUAAUUUAAAAUUAAUUUAUAUCAAAAAUUCAUUCAAAAAUUGAUUUUCACUAACAUAUUUUCCAAUAACUAUUAUAAAAAUAUUUUCAAUAUAUAUAAGAAAAAUACAAUACAAAGCCCAAUUUCAAACACCAACUUAAAUUAUGGUUUUUAUAUUUCAAAUUAAAAUUUAAAAAUACAAUAUAUAUAUGGUUAUUUACAUGAUUGUACGUAUAAAAUAUUAUUAAUUAUAAGAUUACUUAUUUGAUGGUACAUAUAAAAUACGAUGAAUUAUGUGCUAACACAUAUUUUUGUAACAUAUGAUGACACAUAUAUGAUAAAUUAUAAUGGGCGUUCGGGUUCAUUUUCGGGUCUGUUUGGGAUUUCGUGUUCAGUUCAGAUCUUUGAGGAUUCGGUUCGGAUUUAGAUAACCAAUUUAAAUUAUUUUCACAAAAUUUAAAAUUUACGAUAUGCUUUUAUUUUUAAAAAAAUCUAUAAACAAUAGAAUAUAUUACAUAUAAAUUUGAAUAACAUAUGUCAGAGUACCUAACUUAACAUAUAAAUUGGUUUGGUUUAAAUAUUUGGAUAGAGAAUCAAUAAUUAUUUAAGUAUUUUUGGAGUUUUGAGUAUAUUUUAACUAUUUUAGAUAUUUACGUUUGAUUAUUUGUAUAUAUUUUUAAGUAUUUAAGCGAACUCAAAAGUAUCAUAUAUAUUCUGGAUGUUUUUAUAUAUAGUAAAUCUAAAAAUAAUUAAUAUAUAUAAAUAUAUAAAUCUUCGGUUCGGAUCGGAUUAGGUUUCGGUUUUUCAAAUACCAAAAUUUUGAAUAAUUCAGAUAUUUAAUCAAUUUCGGUUCGGAUUUGGUACUACUUAUUCGGAUUGUAUCUAUUCGGUUCAUCGAAUUCGAGUUUUUUGCCCAAACUUAAAUAGUGACAUAAAAAAUAAAUAGCAUCAUAUUUUUAAAAAAUACACAUGCGCGGACGCGCACGUCAAAAUCUAGUAUCCCUUAUAACAGACCAAAAUCAUUUGGGUAAAUCACUCAAAAGAUUCUAAAAUAAAUAUUUUUAUUAAAAAGAUAGAAAAACUUUGUAUCUUUACUUUAUAGAUAUAAAUAAAAAUUAAAAAUCAAAAAUUAAAAUCAACUUUUCCAAUUCAAACUUUUUAUUUUCGAAUAUUAUUUAUGAAAAUUUGUUUUUUCAAACUUUUAUUUGAAAUCUAAAUUUUUUUAAACUAUUUCUAAAACUAUUAUUUUAAAUAUUUUUUCUAAAAUUCUAAAUCCCACGUUCCAACCGCACUCUUCAAAUGUAAAUACUAAAUUUAUAUUAGUUAACCUUAAAAUUAUAAGUGUUUUUAACUUUUGAUGAAACAUAGUUUGUAAAAACUUUUUGGUGUUAAUAUAUGAAAUUUCUCAAAUCAUUUUGUUGACCUAAAUUUUUACUUAACAAUGGAAGAUCUUGAUAUAAGAUUUGGAUAUAGGUUCGUAAUCUAUCUCAGAGCCGAAGUCAGCCUUAUAGUUUAAUUUUAAGAAUAACCAUCAGUCCAGUUGUUUGAUCUUGAUAUAAGAUUUGGAAAUAUAUCGUGCCGCUUUGUAUAUUUCGUCUCUAAUUUGUUUGUUCGCCAUGUAACGUAUGAUAUUCAGGGUUGGUGGUGAUCAAGCCUCAACGACCCGUUAGCUUUAACAGAGACCACAUGGAGUUUCGUGGCCUAAAAGAGCUGUGGGUUUCGCAUUUAUGAAGUAUUGUGAUCAAAAGGACAAUUAAGUGCAGGAGUGGAGGUGGACCCAACAAAGGUAAUACGGCAGGAAAACAUAAUCAAAUCAUCAUCACCACAACUUAAUUUUUAAAAAAAUCAUCACCACAACUUGUAAACACAUAAUAAAUAUGAAAGAGAUGAUCAGAGGCGGAGAAGACAACGGAGAGCCUUGCCCUGAUGUAGGAGCUGCAUAGCUUCGUUAAUAUCACUGAAAGGAAGCUGGUGAGAGAUGAAGAGGUCCAGAUUGAGCUGACCUUGGAGGCACUGUGUGAAGAGAAGAGGCAACUGUGUUUUGGGUUUGAAACCUCCAAAAACAGAGGCAGUGAUUGAUCUGCCUUGGAAGAGCUCCAUGGGAUGGAUAGGUAGAAGCUGUGGGCUUGCGUGAACGCCAAGCAACACUGUCACUCCCACUCCCGAGUUUGUAGAUAAAAAAGCUUCUCGAAGUGCUUCAAUUCUUCCCGCACACUCGAAGCUGUACUCAACUCCUCCCUCAGUUAUCUCCAUCACCCUCUCGUGAACCGUCUUGUCACUCUCCUUUGGGUUUAUGAACUCAUUGAUCCCCACUUCUCUCCCUAAUGGGAACUUGUCAGGGUUGACGUCGACCCCAAUGAUUUUUGAGGCCCCCUUUGCUCUUGCACCCUCAGCUACCGCAAGCCCAACAGCGCCCAGCCCAAAGAUAGCGACGGUGGAGCCAGGCUGAAUAUCAGCCACGUUCCAGGCCGCACCCACUCCUUCAUUAAACACAAAACAUUACUUGUCCCAUUUAUUAAAUAAAUACAACCACUACGUCAUGUCACACAUAAUUAUGUUGGUUACCAGUUGAGACACCGCAGCUGAGGAGGCUCAUCUUCUCUAGAGGAAACCGAGGGUCCACCUUCACCACACAGGCCGAGUCUAUGACCGUGUACUCGGAGAAGGUGGAUGUGUUAAGAAAAUGGUAGAUGGGCUUGUUGUCUUUGCUGGUGAAGAAUCUGGUCUUCCCAUCACCUACCAUCACUUUCUUCAUUGGAUCCACUCGGAACCUCUCGCAAAGAUUGGCUCCGUCUCGUUU
rnacentral:lncRNA from 1 species